ACACCAACUUCGUAGAAAAUCGAAAAUGUAUACUCAUAUAAGGAACUAUACUCAUAUUAUAUUAUAUUUAAUAAGUAUAUAUUUUUGGAAAUAGAUGCUAAAACAAACGAUUCCAUAAAGGGUAAAAUAUAUCAGACCUUCAUAAAAUAAAAAAUAAAAAUAAAAUCACUCUGCAUAUAGAUACCGCAGUUGACGCGUAUUACAAAUAUUAUAGCGCAAGCAUAAAAACAUGUAAUUCUAUAGAUUCGAUAUUAAAAUAUUG